rnacentral:snRNA from 1 species
CUACUUACCCAGCAGGGGAGAGACCAUGAUCACGAAGGUGGUUUUCCCAGGGCGAGUCUUCUCCAUUGUACUCUGGAUGUGCUGAUCCCUGCAAUUUCCCCAAAGGUGGGAAACUCGACUGCAUAAUUUGUGGUAAUGGGGAACUGCAUUUGCACUCUCCCCUG